UUCCGAGCGUUUUUUUAUUGGCUUGGCAUCUUCUGGAUUUGGUGCCUUCGGGUACUAUUUUCCAGGAUUUACUUUGAGAAAACUAGAGUGUUUCAAACAGGCAUUCGCCUUGAAUACUACAGCAUGGAAUAAUGAAGUAGGACUUUGGUUCUAUUUUGUUGGUUAUUGAGCCAGAGUAAUGGUUAAUAGGAGCAGUUGGGGGCAUUCGUAUUUAACUGUCAGAGGUGAAAUUCUUAGAUUUGUUAAAGACGAACUACUGCGAAAGCAUUUGCCAAGGAUGUUUUCAUUAAUCAAGAACGAAAGUUAGGGGAUCGAAGACGAUCAGAUAC
rnacentral:rRNA from 1 species